CCUCACUUCUUUUCUAUGUUUUCCUUGUAUCUUUUUUCCUUGUAUGUAAAUUAUUGACACAAAUAUUCAGUACAUGUUUUCCUUCAUCAGGAAGUCAGGAGAACAUCCUGUAUUAGGAAGAAGAGUCUUGUGAAUGAAUUAAUUGAAUUUCAAGGAAUUUCGUCAACUGGAUAUUUAGAGGAUAUUUUGAGUCUGGCAGAUUUUGACAACAUAUGACAGGCCGUCCUUGCUCCAGCGAGUGGCUCCAUACUUGUGUGUAUAUAUGGGCAGCACAAAUGACCUCAGUGGAACACUCAAUCAUCAAGGACAACAUGAGAGGAAUCAAGGAUAGUUCUGAGAGGAGG